AUUGAACGCUGGCGGCAGGCCUAACACAUGCCAGUCGAGCGGAUGAAGGGAGCUUGCUCCUGGAUUCAGCGGCGGACGGGUGAGUAAUGCCUAGGAAUCUGCCUGGUAGUGGGGGAUAACGUCCGGAAACGGGCGCUAAUACCGCAUACGUUCUGAGGGAGAAAGUGGGGGAUCUUCGGACCUCACGCUAUCAGAUGAGCCUAGGUCGGAUUAGCUAGUUGGUGGGGUAAAGGCCUACCAAGGCGACGAUCCGUAACUGGUCUGAGAGGAUGAUCAGUCACACUGGAACUGAGACACGGUCCAGAUUCCUACGGGAGGCAGCAGUGGGGAAUAUUGGACAAUGGGCGAAAGCCUGAUCCAGCCAUGCCGCGUGUGUGAAGAAGGUCUUCGGAUUGUAAAACACUUUAAGUUGGGAGGAAGGGCAGUAAGUUAAUACCUUGCUGUGUUGACGUUACCAACAGAAUAAGCACCGGCUAACUUCGUG
rnacentral:rRNA from 1 species